rnacentral:misc_RNA from 1 species
AAGGAUCAUUACCGAGUUCACGUACUCAAAUAACCCUUCUGUGGACCUGAAUUAAAACCGUUGCCUCGGCGGGCGGUCCCCUGCCAAAACCCACGUGGUGUGGGCAGGGGACCAGACAGUCCGGCACGCUUGAGGCGUCCGGCGCCAGCCGCUGGCCCUAAACAAUUAAACUCUAGUAACCUUACCUUCUGAGUUUUAAUGCAAAAAAAUAAGUCAAAACUUUCAACAACGGAUCUCUUGGCUCUG